rnacentral:lncRNA from 1 species
UUCUUAGCUAUGAUCAUGAAAACACGAAUUUUAUAUAUUUUUUUAUUUAAUUCACCUGUGCACUUUAUUGUUGGACCACGUGUUAUCAUGAAUGAAAAGUUGUAUUGAGCAUUGCAACUGCUUACGGAAUAACACGUGAUGUGCAGUUAGCCAAUCAGAAUAAAGUAUUAUAAUGAAACAUACAUCUAAUGUAAUUAUUUAUAAAU